CAGAGGUGACAGGAAAAAAGGUGUGGUUAAUGUGCCCGUGAUACAAGUAACACAAUGGAUGAUUUCACAGGAAAUCUGAAAUAUUUUCUUUAAAUGAAGUGGAAGGACUAGGAACAAAAACUACGUUGACUGAACUCACCUACCCGAAAGACUGGGUUAGCCACGGAUUCAACAGCAAGUGACCAGGGGACGAAUCAGCAGGAAGUGUCAAGGGAAGCAGACAGAACCGGAACCGAAAGCAUGGAAAGGGAAGCUGUGUGGAUCCACAGGAGCCUUGGGCCGAGCUCUAGCAGCUCAGACUAGAGUUGCAGAGAAGGAGACAGCAGACAGGGGAGGCUGAGGAGCCUGGUGGAGAAAUGUCCAGGGUCGCCAGAGACAGCGACACAAAUCCGGGAAGCAAUAGGGACACAGCUGCACAUCAGUGUCACCAGUGAGAAGAGUGGGCCCGCAGACCCACGGUGGCAGGCGCCGGAGACCCAGGGCUGCUGGGAGCCCUGCGCAGCAGCUCACCCAGACUCCGGGCCCAGGAAGCUGGACCAAGGAGACGACCAGGAGGCUCAGAGGUCACCACGGAGCAGCAGUGGUACCUGCAGCGCAGCACAGACGCUGCCGGAAGAUGAGUGCGCAGAGCAGUCCGGCCAGACACAGCUGGCACUCAAGACGAACUGAACACGUUUUGAAAAACACUGCUGCUGGCGCAAGAAAAGCUACAAUUUAAUCCUAAUAAAAUGCUCUCACAAAGACAACACCGGCUUCCAACCCCUUUUAACUGUGCCAGUGAAUUCUUCUACAGCUUGUGGAGAAAGCAAUGCCUAUCUCUCUAACCUUCAGGGAGAGAAGAGACAAGAUCACUCAAGGAAGGUCGAGGGGCAGGGUCCGACCAGGAAGUGGGAAUCAGCACUCAUGGUCAUCAGUACACAAAAUAACCCACCCUAAGUCCAGGUACAAGCCAGACACACUGUCGAGGUAGAAAUUAAAAAUUAAUAAGGCUGGGCGUGGUGGCACAUGCCUGUAAUCCCAACAGGGGAGGCUGAGGCAGGAGGAUCACUGUGAGUUUGAGGCCCCCCUCAGGUACAUAGUGAGUGCAAGACCAGGC
rnacentral:lncRNA from 1 species